AGAAGUACCUGACUAUGCCGGACUUUAAUGCAGCCUACAGAUGCUCUAAUCACCAAACAAGAACCCGUGGAAUCACCUUUCACGUGUUUCCCAAAACCGGAGAGAGGAGGAGGCAGUGGGAAGCUGCCCUAAGAAGGCAGGACACUGCUCUGCAGUGAGCACUUCAGUUGUGAGGACUUUGACAGGACGGGGCAGACUGUCCGGCUUAAAGAUGGUGUUGUGCCAACAGUAUUCAACUUCCCAGCUCAUCUUCAAAGGCCGGAAGCAACAAGAAGCACAACCACUUCAAGAAGAGCGGAAGAUGAACCUCAGCCUAAUGUUGUGAGUAUUCUGAAUGUGGCCAAGACCAGAGAGAUGGUCAUUGAUUUCAGGAGGGUGAGGAC